GAAAUACUUAAACAUAUAUAUUUAAAAAAAAUGUUGCUUAAUUAAAGAGUUGAUCAAUCUUAAUCACAUGGAUGACUUGAUUUUUGAAAUUGAUUACAAUUGGACCGAUCUUUUUUAGUUGAUCAAUCUUAAUCACAUGGAUGACUUGAUUUCUGAAAUUGAUUACAAUUGGACCGAUCUUUUUCAGUUGAUCAAUCUUAAUCAAAUGAAUGACUUGAUUUCUGGAAUUGAUUACAAUUGGACCGAUCCUUUUUAGUUGAUCAAUCUUAAUCACAUGGAUGACUUAAAUACUAUAAGUAAUAAGUAUUGCCUUGUAUCUAUAGCAAGAAAAUGGUAAAGUAGAGGCACUACUUAACAAAAAAGUUGAUCAACCAAAAACUGGUGCUCUUAUAAGCUCGCACAAACAACUAGCUUACUAUGAGUGGUAAACUAGAGGGAACUACUCUAUAAACUGGAAAUUAAAAUUUACAGUUCUAAAACGUUUUCUACAGAGAGUUUGCGAAUGCUAAAGAGUGACUCAAACGUUCUUUAUUAUUAAAAAGUUUUUAUAAGAAAAAUUAUGAGUACGAAUUAACAAAACUAAUUCCACUAAUCGGAUAAUAUAAAGACCGCUACUUAUAUGAGGUCAUAUACUAUUAUAUUAAAUGUAAAUAGUAAUGAGUAUAAUUUAUAAGACCACUGCUUGCGAUAAAUUCAUCAAUGGACUUUUUGAUUGUUGAAAAUCUAUUCCACUAAUUGAAUAAUUUAUAAGACCACUGCUUAUAUAUAUAAGAUCACUAUAUGAGUGCAUAUAAUUGAAAAAAUUUUUUUACGUUUUAUAAUAAACGUCAAAUUUUAAAAUGGAUUUUUUUAUUGUUGAAAACCUAUCCAAUACUUAAAUGGGACCAAAAAUAAUUAAAAUGUAUAUAAUGAAAAAAUAUGCGAGUACAAUAUAAUAUUUAAUGAAUCUUUCAUCUAUGAUUUAAUUAAUAAUAGUUCAUUCCACGAGUUAGAUCACUGCUUUCUAUACUUAUAAAAAUAUAUAAAAAUCCCGGACGUGUCUUUUUAUUGUUUGAAGUCCUAUGCUAACUAAUAGGCUUCAAAGGUGAUAACUUUUUAUUUUCUCUUACCAGCGAUGUCUUACCGGAUGUGUUUAAUAAAUGAUUGCGGAGACUAUGCUAAUUAGGUCCCGAUGAUGAUUAAAAAUUCUCUUUAGGAAUUGUCAUUACCCCAAUAUUUUUUUUUAUGAAUCUACCGAGAUAUUGUGCAUGAUUAACUGGAUUAAUUGUUAACUGGGCUCGAAGAAGAACCAUUUCCUACCAGUGCAACUAAACUGGUAUGAGUACUAUAAUUUUGGAAUCGGAAUCGACAAUAAAGGUGGUAGGUGCGUUAAUGUCAAAUACUGUCAAAAUGUGCUAAAGGAAUUCUCGUGAAGCAAUCAAACUGGUAUUAGUACUAGAAAUUUAGAAUUGGAAUCGACAAUGAAAUGUGCUAAAGCAAGUCCUAUAGAAAUGUGUGGAUGUAUUUACUAAAAUAAAUACCCAAAACUCGAAGAACAACAAAUUAAAUAUUUGUUAAAAUAAUGUACCAGUUCAAAUGAAAUAACUAUUUGGGUUGUGCAAAAUUAAUAGUAAACAAUAAAUUUUUCAAGCAAUAUAUA